AUCCAAAUGACGAGUCUCAAAGAGGACGAAACGUGUAUCCUGGAU
rnacentral:hammerhead_ribozyme from 1 species